AUAACAGUGACAUGCUAAAUUAUGAUUGACCAUAAUCAAACUUGCUCAACCAUUCCCAAUCAUGUAAUUUUUUUAUAGAAGAUUUGCUCUAUUUGAACAUAAAUAUAAUAAUACAGUGACAGAUGUACCUGUCUGAUCUUCUAGAUGUUAUAGCAAAAUAAGUCAAUUCAUGCCUUGAAAGUGGCAAGUGAAUGUUGUUGUUUAGUUAGAUGAGCUAAGGUCAUGCGCUGAAAGUGGGAAGUACAUACUGUAAGUCAGUUGUAUGGGUUCCUGAAGAUUUAUAAGUUCAAAAUCCUGAGAGAUUUUAACUUAUAUGACUUUCAGCUCACUUUGUUCGACCAAAGAUGUCCUAAAUGAUGAAGAUUGCUCCUAAGAUUGAAUUUCUUUCUGAAUUCUGGUUGAUAUUCUUUUAUGCCACUUUAGCAGUGUAUUUUUCUUAGAUCUUUUUGUGGAUUGGGAUGGGUUUAGAUGUUUUCUUUGAUUCAAAAUGUGAGCAUGCUUUGUGAUUAAUAUUGCUGAUUUCUCUUAUAUAUUAAGAACUAGAGAUCAGUAAAUCUGGGUCCUGUUCUCAAUUUCCUGACUUAUGUGGUCUAAAGGACAUGUUGAUAUGAAGCAAGGCAGAUGUAUAAUGUUAUAUGAAUACUUAUUUUGCAUUAUCAGUUGGAUGAGUUUGUAAACUACAAUAACUAGAUAACUGGUGAGUUAAAUAUUAUAGAUAUGACUUGGAGAAUGUAUGGAAUGCUUAUGCCUGCACUUAGGUUUGAUAUUUGUUCUAGAGAAAUUGCAAUUUAUGGGUGGCCCAUGGUCUUUAAAUAAUAAAUUCAAGCUCUAACAGGUAACGAGGACAUAUGUCAUAUGACUAAAUGUUUUUUUUAAAUUGGGCCCAUGGUCUUCUGGAAUUGGUCGGAAUAGUUUUUUUUUUUAAAUUAAUAAAUUCAAGCUCUAACAGGUAACGAGGACAUAUGUUGCUGGAGAAAUAAUAGGGUUUUCAUUUUAUUUCUCACAUUGAAAUAGUUCUGCAUCAAUAUCAAGUGGUACUUUUGCUUAAUUUUGUGUUACACUAAUGUACCAUCUUUUGAGAGCUGAUUUAAUCACUAGUUUAAAUUUAAUCAUGAACACACACACACACACACACACAUAUAUUUAUAUAUUUAUAUAUAUGGAAUUUUCUUAUCCAUGAGGAUCUCUCUUUCUCUAAUGGUUAGUGCCUUUUGUUUAUAUGCUAAAUGACCAGAGUCUUGAUUUCCGACAAUUUUCUGACAAGGAUUCUCAUGGAGAUACUGUUCUUUUUGAUCUCAAAUGUUGUUGUUUAUGUUUAUGGGUGAUAGGUCCUAAUACAUUUUCUUUAGGUAUUUCUAUUGGAUUUUUUCUUCUGUAUGAUGCGUUAUUGUAUAGAAGUUCUGAGUAUUUUGGUGUCAGAGAGCAUGAAACUUCCCUUUUCAAGUAUGUUUCUUCAAUAAGUUUAAACUUUGGUGCUAUGUGAUCUAAAUUGAGUAGGCCCCAUGGUAUUAAUGUAUAACGCACUAGUGGUUGUGAGCCUAAUGUCAGCCUUGAAUAGUUGGUGCCAGGUACUUGCACAAGUCAAUUUUAGGCAAGAAUGAACUUGUCAUGGAACCUUCAAAAUUUGGUUAGGGACCUAGCUUAUUGAUUGAUCUUCAAAUUCUUGUAAAUAUGGGCAAACCUCUGAAGUUCCUUAGAUUUUAAUGGGUAAGGGCUCGUGCAUUGUUGAUAAUGAUGUGGGAUCUGUGCUGUGGACAAAUUGGGUGCUCUUUCAUGUGAAAAGGCUAUCUUUAUAAUUAUCUUAAGUGAAAUUUAAAAUACAACUGUUGCAUGUUUGCCAUUUAUGGGAUUUAACCAAUGUUCUAGAAGCAUUAUUUCAUUGAUGACCUGCGCUGCUGCUUGUUCUGAAUACAUGAAAAGUUGGAUAAAUUCCUAGUUGUGCUAAUUUAUAAACACAAGUGGUUAUACACAAUUUCCACUGACAAGUUUGCAUUUUGAGCUUCUUGAUUUUGUUUGGAUGGAUGUUUUAAUUUGUAAGAUUAGCUAGCUUUAUGCUUGAUAUUUUUGUUUCUAAUAGCUUACUGUUAAUAGAAUCUCAAUUAAUUCUUUUUUCCCCUUUUUGUGGAAAAAAGAAAUAUUUGGGAUACCUGAAUUUUGAUAUUAGAAAAAUGCAGCCAUCAUUGUUGCUAGUUAAAGAGGAGCCAUACCUAAUUGUCUUGGUAUAUUACUUCAUAUGAUCUAUGCUAUGCAUUUAUUGACAUGAUAUAGAGCAAGUAUCAACUAAGAGUUAAGUUUUGGCUGAAACUGAUCCAUUUUGUUCAAGACUGAUGCGGAACUGGUGGAAAUUUGUGGAUUCCAUAAAUCUUGGUCAAUUUUGAUUAAUUUUGGACAAAUUUGGCUGGUUUCAGCGAUUUUGGUUAAAAUCAAUCGAGACUAUUGUUAUUUAUUUACCUUUUUCUGUUUAGCAAGUAAAUAUGGUUUGUGCUUUCUAAAUCUGACAAUACUAUUUGAUACAUAUCUAAGACUCCCAACUAUUUAAGUAGUUGUUUUUUUUUUUUUUGAAUUUUGUUGUGAUGCAUAAGCUGUAUCAAAAUAAUGACAUAGAAUAGUUUUUUAUUUAGUUGGGUUGUCUUUUGCUUGGAUUGUUCAAAUAUAACUGUUUAUAUGUUUUUGUUUCAAUGUGUAUUUUAAAUGAAAUAAAACAAGGUGUGUUUUGGAUAGGUUUCUCUUGCUUAGAUGAGUUAUAAAAAUGAGAUAUGCAUAGAUGAAUUAUUCUUGCCUAGAUUAGUAUUUAUAAUGAAAUGGAACACAAAUAAAUUUGGAUGGUUUUUUUCAUCACUUAGGUGAGCUAUGAAAAUGAAAUAAAAUGAAACAUGUAUAGAGUGAAGUUUAUUAGAAUGAGAAAAUUAGAGUAUGGAAAAUUAAUGAAAAGUAUAUAAAAUUGUAUGAAAAUUAUACAAGUCAGGGAAAAGUGUAAGAAAAUAUAAUACAAUUUACAGCAAGUGAAAAAUCUAUACUAACAUGUUAAGCAUUCAUAUGAUUUUGGUUCUAAACUACCCUUAAUGAUCCUACAUAACUCAAAACACCAUAAAAUAAUAUAGAAUAAUUUUAACUUUUUAAUAUUUAUUCUAAAAGUUUGUGAGAUUUUUGAAAUCACCUAAACUAUUGAAAUCAAAUCUCUACAUAUGGAACUGAAACUAAAAUUUAGUUUUAGAACCUUGAUACCCUUAAUUGAUCAGUUGUAAGUUUGGAAUACCAAAGCAUGAAUUUGCUCUUGUUAAGCUUGUUAUUUCCAAUCAAGGAUGAGGGAUUUACAUCCUUCUUUUUUGGAUGGUGGCUUCAGUAGAAAGUUUGUGAAAAACUAUAUAUAUAUAUAUAUAUAUAUAUAUAUAUAUAUA
rnacentral:lncRNA from 1 species